UACAUUUUAUUUGUGUGUGUGUGUUUGCAUAAGUGUAUUGCACAAGUGUGUGUGUGUGUUUGUGUGUGCUCAGGUAGCCACAGAUGCUGUGAGUUCAUGAUUGUAACAGCCAUGCCAUGUCCAGAGAAUAGUGGCUCACAACACUGUUUUGAGGUGGGAGAGUCUUCUGUUUUGUGUUGAUUUCAUUGGUUAAUAAAGAAACUGCCUUGGCCCUUUAAUAGGACAGAAAAUUAGGUAGGCGAAGUAGACAGACAGAAUGCUGGGAGAAAUAAGCCAAGUCAGUCAAUCGCCAUGAUUCUCCCACCCGACACAGACGCCAUGCCUUUCCUCUCCAGGCAGAUGCUAUAGCUCUCCUCUCCAAGAUGGACGCAGGUUAAGAUCCUUUCUGGGUGUUCCGAGGGCCGUGGUGAUGGAGAUGUCUCCUUUAGGGCGAAACCUUCGACUGUCACUUAUCCUCGUCAUCUCUGACCUUUAUGAACCUCUGCAUCAACUGCUACCCACUGCAGACAGAAGUUUCUCUGACUAAGGCCGAGAGCAUCACCAGUCUAAGGGCAUAAAUACCAACAUUUUACAAGGUCGUUUGACGACAUACCUAUUUAACAAAACACAAAUAAUAAGGUUUCUCUGUGUAGCCCUGGCUGUCCUGGAACUCACUCUGUAGACCAAGCUGGCCUUGAACUCAGAGAUCUGCCUGUCUCUACUGGGAUUAAAGGUGUUUGCCACCUUGCCCAGAUUAGUGGUGGGCUUUUAAAAGUAAGAUGUGUUUAUUUUAUUUUAUAUGUAUGUUUGUUUUGUCUAUAUGGAUAUCUGUGUACCAUGUGUGUGUCUGGUGCCCAGAGAGGCCAGAAGAAGAUUGGAUCCCCUGGACCUGGAGUUACAGAUGGUUGUGAGCUACCUUAUGGGUACUAGGAAUCAAACCCAGGUCCUCUGCAAGAGCAGCAAGUGCUCUUAAGUGCUGAGCCAACUCUUCUGCCCCACAGAGUUUUGAGCAGGUUACAGAAUCAGACAUGCAUUCCUGGCAGCAAAUCCAUUCAGAAAGCGGGUAAUCACCCUCACAGCAAUUACCACGUUCUUUUCGGGAAUGAGCUUUUCUUUUAUAUUUAUUAUUAUUGUCUACGCACUGUUUUCAUACCUGAUUCCCGGAAAGGUCAGAGGAGGUGAUCAGGACCCAUGGGACCCCAGUUACAGACAGUAAGGUAACCUUUUUUGAAACCUUGUCUCAAAAAAAAAAAUAAGUAGAUAAAAUUAUUCUACAGAUUGGAAGAGGAUUUUCUGAAGGACUAAGCGUAGAUUAUAAAGAUGAAGAACCAAGGAUAACUCCUAGCUUUGUUUUUUUUUUUUUUUUUUGGUUUUUCGAGACAGGGUUUCUCUGUGGUUUUGGAGCCUGUCCUGGAACUAGACCAGGCUGGUCUCGAACUCACAGAGAUCCGCCUGCUUCUGCCUCCCAAGUGCUGGGAUUAAAGGCGUGCACCACCACACCCUGCGCCAGUGUCCUAAUUGUGUCAUGGGACUCACUGUGUAGACCAGGUUGGCCUUGAACUUACAUCAGUUUGCUUGCCUCUGCCUCACCAGGGCUGGGCCCAAACACAUACCCUCCUCUAUGAGCAUGUGUGCAUGUAUGUUUACAUGUGUCUAUGCAGAUUUAUGUGUGUGUAUGCACAUACAUGUACCUUAAAUUGGAGGCCAGAGGAAGGGGUCAGGUGACCUCCCUGACUGCUCACUUCCUUAUAUAACAUGGAGGCAGGACGUUUUGGUAAAUCUGGAGCUUACCUUUUCAGCUAGUCCGGCUGACAGCUUGCAGGGGAUUCCUUGACUUCCACCCCUGUGAGCUGGGGUUACAGAUGACCCUCCAUGUCCACCCAGCUGUUACUCAGGCUCUAGGGAUCCGAACUCUGACUUGAACUCCUGUCCUCCCUGUGUUCAUCCCUGUGUUCAGCUGCUGAGCUGUCUCCCCAGGCUCUUUAGGCCCGAAGUCUGUGUUAAACAGAAUGUAACACAAAAGCACUGAUGCCACUUAGAAGCCUCUAGCCUGGUGAGUUUUCACAAUAGAAACACAGUUAUUGAGUGACUAUCACCUGAGGCAAGAGGCCCCUGUCCAUAGGCCCUUCCAUCGUCGCUCCCUCCUCUCUCCGAGAACAUCUGUGCCUGCAGUGCUAGGCUUUGAGAACCUUGAAGGUGCCCCUCUGUGAGGUUUUUUUUUUUGGCUUUCAAUUUCUUUCCAUCUUUUCUCCUCCUCUUCUUUUUAAUUUUUUUUUUGUUUUUUUU